rnacentral:lncRNA from 1 species
CUCCUAAAUUCUCAUAUAAUUUCAUCAUGUUGUUGUGCAUGCAGGACAGCUUGUCAUAUUGCUCUCGUGCAUUCUCAGCAAAGGCGCUCAUCUUCUCUACAAACUUAUCAUGCUCAUCUUCUGUUUUAGGGAAAUUCUUAAUGUCACUUUCUAAGCGUUGGAUCUGUUUGUUCAUCGAGUCAAGGUUGCUCUUAAGAGUUUUGUCUGAAACUUUACUUGCACUCUCAACGUGCUGCAGGUCAUCUGUGAAUUUUAAGAUAUCU